GUUGAUAAGAAAGGAUCUAAAGCUCAGCAAAUACUACCAUAAAAGAUUUCUUUUUCUUCUAGAUUUAGCAUACCCAAAAUGACAAGCAGCAAGUGGGAGAUCAUAACAAAGUACCUCACCCGAUUCAUGUAGAAAAGAAAAGACAGAAACUCUCAUCGCUCAUUCUUAAUAUGGGAAUUCUAAAUUAGCUAUAGGCCACUUCAAGUAAGUUGUCAAUUUGAGACUACAGUCCUAGCCAUGUAUGAAACACCUAAAGCC
rnacentral:lncRNA from 1 species